AAUAGAUACCCCGGUAGUCCACGCCGUAAACGAUGAGUGCUAAGUGUUAGAGGGUUUCCGCCCUUUUAGUGCUGCAGCUAACGCAUUAAGCACUCCGCCUGGGGAGUACGGCCGCAAGGCUGAAACUCAAAGGAAUUGACGGGGGGCCCGCACAAGCGGUGGAGCAUGUGGUUUAAUUCGAAGCAACGCGAAGAACCUUACCAGGUCUUGACAUCCUCUGCCAACCCUAGAGAUAGGGCGUUCCCCUUCGGGGGACAGAGUGACAGGUGGUGCAUGGUUGUCGUCAGCUCGUGUCGUGAGAUGUUGGGUUAAGUCCCGCAACGAGCGCAACCCUUGAUCUUAGUUGCCAUCAUUAAGUUGGGCACUCUAAGGUGACUGCCGGUGACAAACCGGAGGAAGGUGGGGAUGACGUCAAAUCAUCAUGCCCCUUAUGACCUGGGCUACACACGUGCUACAAUGGACGGUACAAAGAGCUGCAAGACCGCGAGGUGGAGCUAAUCUCAUAAAACCGUUCUCAGUUCGGAUUGUAGG
rnacentral:rRNA from 1 species